rnacentral:rRNA from 1 species
AGAGUUUGAUCCUGGCUCAGGAUGAACGCUAGCUACAGGCUUAACACAUGCAAGUCGAGGGGCAGCAUGGAAGAAGCUUGCUUCUUCUGAUGGCGACCGGCGCACGGGUGCGUAACGCGUAUCAAACCUGCCUCAUACUCGGGGAUAGCCUUGCGAAAGUAAGAUUAAUACCCGAUGUUGUUAUGUUACCGCAUGGUGAUAUAACCAAAGAUUUAUCGGUAUGAGAUGGUGAUGCGUCCGAUUAGGUAGUAGGCGGGGUAACGGCCCACCUAGCCUUCGAUCGGUAGGGGUUCUGAGAGGAAGGUCCCCCACACUGGAACUGAGACACGGUCCAGACUCCUACGGGAGGCAGCAGUGAGGAAUAUUGGUCAAUGGACGAAAGUCUGAACCAGCCAAGUAGCGUGCAGGAUGACGGCCCUCUGGGUUGUAAACUGCUUUUAGUUGGGAAUAAAAAGAGGACGUGUCCUCUAUUGUAUGUACCUUCAGAAAAAGGACCGGCUAAUUCCGUG